ACAGACGGACAGAUAGACUGACAGACAGACAACAAAGUGAUACUAUAAGGGUUCCUUUUUCUUUGUGAGGUACGGAACCCUAAAAAAAGAAUUUUCAGUUAUCUUUCCGGACAUGAACUGAGUCACAAUAAAAUUUGUAUGAACCCUCUCGAAGAAAUAAGUAUUUAGGUUUUUUUAUACAGUUUUUGAACCAAAUACUUAUGUGCUCCUGUUUAAGAAAUAAUUUUAGCAACUAGCAUGGAUACGGAAUCCUACCUUACUGUGUGUUUUGAAUUUUGACACGCAUUUGACUAGUUUUUAUUCCUUUACAGCUUGAAGGAAGCAGUCGUACCUAACUCCUGUAAAAUACGUAAUAUAAGUGACGCAUUUUGUAAAUAUAAUAAAUAAAUAAGUACAUUGGAGUGAAUUAUGUGCCAAAUAGAUAAGUACAUUUAUAUAAAAAUUGUUAAAUAAAUAUCUAUUGCUAGUAGAUUCUAAUAGACAAUUAUUAUAUGAAGAAUCUUUAGUUAAGUAUUGUAGGAUAAUAUUUUUUGCAUUUUGAUAAAAUACUUACUUCUGUAAUUUAUUUUAACGUCAGCGCUGCAUUGUAAUUUGUAUUGUUUUGAUUGGUUGGUGACUCAAAAUGGUAAACACCGAUUUAUGUUACAGAGGGAGCGAUACUAGCGAGAGCUACUAUUUAAAGAAGUUAGUAUAGUAACUUCUUUCCCUGAGUAAGGUAUAAUUAUUGUCUGAACACAGCCUGUAAUAUGCGAUCACCUUUAUCUACUACGAUCAGUGCGCUUUUUUAUAACCGUAAGGAAACCAAAGACAAUUCGAAUAAAUAGUAGAAGUUAAACUUGCAAUAUUUUUCAUAGAUACGAAAUAAUUAUUAAAAUGUCAAAUGAGACGAUUUACAACUGCAGGGUAACUCUACAGUGGAAAUGUAUUUAAUUAUGCUUUUAGGUUCAAGCUAAUAAAUUUAGGAAAACGCAUGACAACUUGUAAACUAAGUUUUUAAAAGCAAUACGAUAGAAUAAGUAUAAAAGAUGUUUUUGAAAAUAAAAAUUACUAUGUGCUUAUUUACAUUUUUUAUUUACAUUUCUAUGAUAAUAUACCUACAUAAAAAAAUUUACUUUACAAAAUUUUAAUAUCUGUCUAUCUACUCACUACCUACCUUAAUUUAAAAUUGUGUUUAUCCGACUGCGCACAAUCUAUAAACAAGGUAACAUCUGAAUAGUAAAGUAGUAAUAAAGCCAAGAAAAAAAAUUGAUAAAGUAGUCAUCAAUGUUCACAAGAUUAUUUUUUUAAAAUUCCAAAUAAACAUUUGAAAAUGGCUAAGCAUAUUUUUAAAUUCGUCAUAAAGGCCUACGCUGAGAACAACUAUUGACUACACACUAUUGUCCGCGGAGGCCUCAUACGAUGGAAGUCUGAAUGUAUAAUGUGAUCCAUUUUG